UGGGGAAUAUUGGACAAUGGGGGAAACCCUGAUUCAGCAAUGCCGCGUGAGUGAAGAAGGCCUUAGGGUUGUAAAGCUCUUUCGCCCGCGAAGAUAAUGACGGUAGCGGGAGAAGAAGCCCCGGCUAACUCCGUGCCAGCAGCCGCGGUAAUACGGAGGGGGCUAGCGUUGUUCGGAAUUACUGGGCGUAAAGCGUACGUAGGCGGAUGCGCAAGUUGGGGGUGAAAUCCCGGGGCUUAACCUCGGAAUUGCCCUCAAAACUGCACGUCUUGAGACCGAGAGAGGUAAGGGGAAUUCCUAGUGUAGAGGUGAAAUUCGUAGAUAUUAGGAAGAACACCAGUGGCGAAGGCGCCUUACUGGCUCGGUACUGACGCUGAGGUACGAAAGCGUGGGGAGCAAACA
rnacentral:rRNA from 1 species